UAGAGGAAGUAAAAGUCGUAACAAGGUCUCCGUUGGUGAACCAGCGGAGGGAUCAUU
rnacentral:rRNA from 7 species